rnacentral:lncRNA from 1 species
AGUGAAGAAAGUGAGAGGAUUCUCUGCAAUGCUUACACACACUGAAGCUUCUGCUUUGUCCGGUAUUCUUUAAACCUUGAAGCUUUUUCUAACAAUUGUAAGUGUGAACCAAAUUAAAUUUAAAAAAAAAUUGAGAAACAGAAAUUAAUAAUAAUAAUUAUAUUAAUGAUCAUUAAGCUUUUAGUACAUUAAACUGACACUUCAUAGACAAUUAAGUAAACCAAUUAACUCAGCUGAACGUUUUUAUAUUGUAAGAGAAUUGAAUUAAGGAAAUUAAAUAAUGUUGUGGAAGUAUUUGUACUGUCUCCUUUAAGAUAUCUAUUAAGGCUACAUGAUUUUGUAAACUGGCAAAGAUGGUGUGGUGUCAGUGUUCCCAGAUCCAGUUCUUCAAUUGCACUCCUUGUGUAUACAAGAACCUCACUAUUCUUGUAAUAGAAACAACAGCUUCAAAUUAACAUUAUUAAAAGAUGUGAGACUGAUGCGAUUAGGUUAUUGCAUCAGCUUCAAAACCAGUAAAUUGAAGAAAAACAGAUCAAGUCUCAAAUCGUCACUCCUUCUUCAUGUACCGUUAUAAGGGAUGUUGCGUUAUCUCAUUGCAUUAGAUGUUUGAUUGUUGAGAUUAGGUUAUUUUAUUUUCAUUGGAAAUGAUAAUGUUUCAUUAGCGAAGUUAUUUGGAGUGAUUAUGAUAACAUACUUAGUGAAAUGAUUAAUUAUUGUGCUAUAUAUUCCUUAAAGUUGCAAAUUGGAUAUGCUGAGCAAACUCUCUUACUUGCAUUAGGCCAAGCUGCAGUGUACACUGAAGAACGUCCCUCCAACAACUUCCCCACUGCAGCUGAAUUGGCUUCAUCAGUUGCUGGUUUUGCUUGUCUUGGUUGGUAAUACAUUUUAUACUGAUUUUUUUUAAGCUUUCUUUCAUUCAUUAGUUAUUAUGAGUACCAAAACAAAUUGGAAUUUGUCCGUUGUUAUCGGCUAAUACUUUCUUUGUUGGAACUUGAGUGGUUUUAUUAUAUCAUUCCUCCAUUGAUUUCAGGUAUAUGAGGAAUGCAUGAUUAUCACAAUAAAUGUUAAGGAAUUCAUUCUAGUUUCUUUUGAAAAUUUAUUGAAUCUUUUAGAGCAAAAUAACUAUUUAUUGUAUGUAUUAAUAGAAUUAGUAAAAUUAAAUUAUAUUUUAUUGUAUGUUUCAAUGACAUUAAUUAAUAAAAAUAAAUUAGAAAUUUAAAUUUAAUCUACUGAUAAUAAUAGUUUAGAAUUACAAUUAGUAGGGAGAUAAAAUAAAUUUAAUUUAAUAAAUAAUAAUAAUAAGUUUUAGUGACAGACAUACCGUAGAAAUAGGAAUAGAUUAAUAUUUUUUUUAUAUUUUUCUAAGUUUUAGUGACAGAAAUAUUGUAGGAAUAGACUAAUUCUUUAUUUAUAUUUAUCUAGGUUUUAGUGACAGUCUUUAUUGUAGGUAGAAAUAAAAAACAUAUAGUGACAAUCCUCAGAACAUGUAGUGACAGUAUUCAAAGUGUAGCAGGACGCCCCCUUAAAGUUGACACUAGAUUUGAGUGUCACUCAAAGUAUUAUUGACUUUUACCUACAGUUUUUAACUUUUAGUGAAACAUUUUGGGUGUCACGAUAGGUCAAUUUUUUUGUAGUGACAUAUGCUUAUAGAAUUGCUGAAUUUGUGUACGUGAACUCGGUUCACGUAGGUAUUUGGGCUUGUUGAAUUUGCGUACGCGAACUGAGGUCACAUGGGUAUAUGGGCUUGCAUAUAAACCAGUUCACGUACGUUUCUAUGUUUUAAUUUUGAUUAUGAUAUGAUUAUGCAGAUAUGGUGCACACUAUAUUUACUGAUAGAGCAUAUCGAGUUAUAACUAAUGAUACAGCUGAUGAGGGUACUUCUAAUGAUGAGGGUCGUCGUGUUAGAUCAACUGCUUCUACACGGACUUAGCGUAUUGAGGAGCAGGAGGAAAUGUAACGGGAGAGGCGGGUGAGGCGACAACAACAACAAUUACAACAAGAGGCUCACCAUGAAGAGGAGACCCAACAGGAAGAGCAAACACAACAUGAGGCCCAACUUGAGCACAUAGAUGAACUAGUCCUAGCUGAUGGAUAUCUUGGUGGUCCGGUUGACAAGUAUGUCAUGAGGAUAUUUGGGGAUCAUGUGGCCACUCGAUCAUAUUAAAUUUUUAAUAGUUAUAUUCAUAAUGUGUUUUAACUUAUAUUUUUUCGCUUAUUUUAUUUCAG